AGGCAUGCGAAUUAAAUAAACAAGAUCUCCAGAACAACCAAACCUUAAAGUCUUUCUAUAUCUCUUCAAGUCUUUCAUUGAAGCAUAAAUUACUACAAUGGCUGCCUCAGCCUCCAUGGAAUCAAUCCUAGCAAACUCAGUGGUUUAGCCACCUGGUUCCUGCUAAAUAUGCACCAACAUCCCACAGGUACCCUCAACUGAGGGUACGUUCCAUGGCAGAGAAUGGUCAGGAAGAGCAACCAUCUACAACACCAGAGGCAUCUAAAAUUCCUCCACCACCUCCUACACCUACUCCUUCUCCUAAGCGUAGUCCUAAGGUUAGCACAAAGUUCUCCGACGUGUUUGCAUUCAGUGGGCCAGCCCCAGAGAGGAUCAACGGCAGGCUUGCAAUGGUGGGGUUUGUUUCAGCUAUGGCAGUGGAGCUAUCCAAGGGGCAGGAUGUGUUUGCUCAGAUAUCCGACGGUGGAGUGUCCGUGUUCCUUGCCACAAGCAUUUUGCUAUCGGUGGCAUCAGUGAUUCCUCUGUUCAAAGGGGUGAGCGUGGAGUCGAAAUCAGAUGGGAUAAUGACUUCAGAUGCUGAGCUGUGGAAUGGAAGGUUGGCCAUGUUAGGCCUGGUAGCUUUGGCCUUCACUGAGUUUGUGAAGGGAGGAACCCUAGUGUAGGUCUUAAUCAUUGUUGUUGAAGUUUUCCACAUGUAAUUAUUCUGUACGAAUCUUUAUAAGAAUAUCACAUUUUUCA